rnacentral:lncRNA from 10 species
CCUUGAGAACACUGGAAAAAACAUGUUUCCUCAGCUGUAAAAUGUGGAUAACAACCAGAUCUGCCUCAUGAAGACCCUGUGAGAAUUAAACAAGAUGAUGUGUGCAGAGUACAGAAGUCAGUGAGCCCAGCAUCUACAAGUGACUAUGUGAAUUAGUGGUUAUUAUGGCUACGAUUGUGCCUGCUGCUGCUAAAGUCAAACGUUUUUUUCCUUUCAUAACUGAACAUAGCAGGAUUUGCAUUUGUGGAAGAUGGUACCAAGGUACCUAUCUCUCUGAAAGUCAAAUAAAGAGAAAAAUAAAAAAAUGUCGAUUCAUCUUCAUUACAUUUUGCCCUAAAAAUUUACUACUUGUUUUUUG